rnacentral:rRNA from 1 species
AGUGAACGCUGGCGAUAGGCCUAACACAUGCAAGUCGAACGGCAGCACAGUAAGAGCUUGCUCUUACGGGUGGCGAGUGGCGGGCGGGUGAGGAAUACAUCGGAAUCUACUUUUUCGUGGGGGAUAACGUAGGGAAACUUACGCUAAUACCGCAUACGACCUACGGGUGAAAGCAGGGGAUCUUCGGACCUUGCGCGAUUGAAUGAGCCGAUGUCGGAUUAGCUAGUUGGCGGGGUAAAGGCCCACCCAGGCGACGAUCCGUAGCUGGUCUGAGAGGAUGAUCAGCCACACUGGAACUGAGACACGGUCCAGACUCCUACGGGAGGCAGCAGUGGGGAAUAUUGGACAAUGGGCGCAAGCCUGAUCCAGCCAUACCGCGUGGGUGAAGAAGGCCUUCGGGUUGUAAAGCCCUUUUGUUGGGAAAGAAAAGCAGCAGGUUAAUACCCCGCUGUUCUGACGGUACCCAAAGAAUAAGCACCGGCUAACUUCGUG